UUAAGUUAUUAAGGGCGCACGGUGGAUGCCUUGGCACUAGAAGCCGAUGAAGGACGUUACUAACGACGAUAUGCUUUGGGGAGCUGUAAGUAAGCUUUGAUCCAGAGAUUUCCGAAUGGGGAAACCCAGCAUGAGUUAUGUCAUGUUAUCGAUAUGUGAAUACAUAGCAUAUCAGAAGGCACACCCGGAGAACUGAAACAUCUUAGUACCCGGAGGAAGAGAAAGAAAAUUCGAUUCCCUUAGUAGCGGCGAGCGAAACGGGAAGAGCCCAAACCAACAAGCUUGCUUGUUGGGGUUGUAGGACACUCUAUACGGAGUUACAAAGGACGACAUUAGACGAAUCAUCUGGAAAGAUGAAUCAAAGAAGGUAAUAAUCCUGUAGUCGAAAAUGUUGUCUCUCUUGAGUGGAUCCUGAGUACGACGGAGCACGUGAAAUUCCGUCGGAAUCUGGGAGGACCAUCUCCUAAGGCUAAAUACUCUCUAGUGACCGAUAGUGAACCAGUACCGUGAGGGAAAGGUGAAAAGCACCCCGGAAGGGGAGUGAAAUAGAACCUGAAACCGUGUGCUUACAAGUAGUCAGAGCCCGUUAAUGGGUGAUGGCGUGCCUUUUGUAGAAUGAACCGGCGAGUUACGAUUUGAUGCAAGGUUAAGCAGUAAAUGUGGAGCCGUAGCGAAAGCGAGUCUGAAUAGGGCGUUUAGUAUUUGGUCGUAGACCCGAAACCAGGUGAUCUACCCUUGGUCAGGUUGAAGUUCAGGUAACACUGAAUGGAGGACCGAACCGACUUACGUUGAAAAGUGAGCGGAUGAACUGAGGGUAGCGGAGAAAUUCCAAUCGAACCUGGAGAUAGCUGGUUCUCUCCGAAAUAGCUUUAGGGCUAGCCUCAAGUGAUGAUUAUUGGAGGUAGAGCACUGUUUGGACGAGGGGCCCCUCUCGGGUUACCGAAUUCAGACAAACUCCGAAUGCCAAUUAAUUUAACUUGGGAGUCAGAACAUGGGUGAUAAGGUCCGUGUUCGAAAGGGAAACAGCCCAGACCACCAGCUAAGGUCCCAAAAUAUAUGUUAAGUGGAAAAGGAUGUGGCGUUGCCCAGACAACUAGGAUGUUGGCUUAGAAGCAGCCAUCAUUUAAAGAGUGCGUAAUAGCUCACUAGUCGAGUGACACUGCGCCGAAAAUGUACCGGGGCUAAACAUAUUACCGAAGCUGUGGAUUGUCCUUUGGACAAUGGUAGGAGAGCGUUCUAAGGGCGUUGAAGCAUGAUCGUAAGGACAUGUGGAGCGCUUAGAAGUGAGAAUGCCGGUGUGAGUAGCGAAAGACGGGUGAGAAUCCCGUCCACCGAUUGACUAAGGUUUCCAGAGGAAGGCUCGUCCGCUCUGGGUUAGUCGGGUCCUAAGCUGAGGCCGACAGGCGUAGGCGAUGGAUAACAGGUUGAUAUUCCUGUACCACCUAUAAUCGUUUUAAUCGAUGGGGGGACGCAGUAGGAUAGGCGAAGCGUGCGAUUGGAUUGCACGUCUAAGCAGUAAGGCUGAGUAUUAGGCAAAUCCGGUACUCGUUAAGGCUGAGCUGUGAUGGGGAGAAGACAUUGUGUCUUCGAGUCGUUGAUUUCACACUGCCGAGAAAAGCCUCUAGAUAGAAAAUAGGUGCCCGUACCGCAAACCGACACAGGUAGUCAAGAUGAGAAUUCUAAGGUGAGCGAGCGAACUCUCGUUAAGGAACUCGGCAAAAUGACCCCGUAACUUCGGGAGAAGGGGUGCUCUUUAGGGUUAACGCCCAGAAGAGCCGCAGUGAAUAGGCCCAAGCGACUGUUUAUCAAAAACACAGGUCUCUGCUAAACCGUAAGGUGAUGUAUAGGGGCUGACGCCUGCCCGGUGCUGGAAGGUUAAGAGGAGUGGUUAGCUUCUGCGAAGCUACGAAUCGAAGCCCCAGUAAACGGCGGCCGUAACUAUAACGGUCCUAAGGUAGCGAAAUUCCUUGUCGGGUAAGUUCCGACCCGCACGAAAGGCGUAACGAUUUGGGCACUGUCUCAACGAGAGACUCGGUGAAAUCAUAGUACCUGUGAAGAUGCAGGUUACCCGCGACAGGACGGAAAGACCCCGUGGAGCUUUACUGUAGCCUGAUAUUGAAAUUCGGCACAGCUUGUACAGGAUAGGUAGGAGCCUUUGAAACGUGAGCGCUAGCUUACGUGGAGGCGCUGGUGGGAUACUACCCUAGCUGUGUUGGCUUUCUAACCCGCACCACUUAUCGUGGUGGGAGACAGUGUCAAGCGGGCAGUUUGACUGGGGCGGUCGCCUCCUAAAAGGUAACGGAGGCGCUCAAAGGUUCCCUCAGAAUGGUUGGAAAUCAUUCAUAGAGUGUAAAGGCAUAAGGGAGCUUGACUGCGAGACCUACAAGUCGAGCAGGGUCGAAAGACGGACUUAGUGAUCCGGUGGUUCCGCAUGGAAGGGCCAUCGCUCAACGGAUAAAAGCUACCCCGGGGAUAACAGGCUUAUCUCCCCCAAGAGUUCACAUCGACGGGGAGGUUUGGCACCUCGAUGUCGGCUCAUCGCAUCCUGGGGCUGUAGUCGGUCCCAAGGGUUGGGCUGUUCGCCCAUUAAAGCGGUACGCGAGCUGGGUUCAGAACGUCGUGAGACAGUUCGGUCCCUAUCCGUCGUGGGCGUAGGAAAUUUGAGAGGAGCUGUCCUUAGUACGAGAGGACCGGGAUGGACAUACCUCUGGUGUACCAGUUGUCGUGCCAACGGCAUAGCUGGGUAGCUAUGUGUGGACGGGAUAAGUGCUGAAAGCAUCUAAGCAUGAAGCCCCCCUCAAGAUGAGAUUUCCCAACUUCGGUUAUAAGAUCCCUCAAAGAUGAUGAGGUUAAUAGGUUCGAGGUGGAAGCAUGGUGACAUGUGGAGCUGACGAAUACUAAUCGAUCGAAG
rnacentral:rRNA from 1 species